rnacentral:rRNA from 1 species
GACGAACGCUGGCGGCGUGCUUAACACAUGCAAGUCGUACGGUAAGGCCCUUUCGGGGGUACACGAGUGGCGAACGGGUGAGUAACACGUGAGUAACCUGCCCACAACUUUGGGAUAACGCUAGGAAACUGGUGCUAAUACUGGAUAUGUGCUCCUGCUGCAUGGUGGGGGUUGGAAAGCUCCGGCGGUUGUGGAUGGACUCGCGGCCUAUCAGCUUGUUGGUGGGGUAGUGGCCUACCAAGGUGGCGACGGGUAGCCGGCCUGAGAGGGUGACCGGCCACAUUGGGACUGAGAUACGGCCCAGACUCCUACGGGAGGCAGCAGUGGGGAAGAUUGCACAAGGGGCGCAAGCCUGAUGCAGCAACGCCGCGUGCGGGAUGACGGCCUUCGGGUUGUAAACCGCUUUCAGCAGGGACGAAGCUUUUUGUGACGGUACCUGCAGAAGAAGCACCGGCUAACUACGUG